GCAUUUUUUAGAGCCUAAUUCACUUUAAUUAAUAAUUAAAAUUACAUUCAAAUCCAAAUUCAAAAUUCUAAUGCUAAAAAUUUUCCUAAAAUAAAUUUAUUGUAAUCCAUCUCUACUUCCAUAAGCUGCACCUUGAUCUGAUCUUCUAUAUAAUAUUAUAUUACAAUUAUAUAUUUCUAAAAAUAAUUUAUAACGACGAUAUACAAGCAAAAUGAAAGUUUCAUUAAUCGUGGAUUAUCAAUUACAGGACAGAUUCCCCUGAUCGGAAUAAAAAACCGCCAAAUUUUUUGAUUUUUAAGAACAUAACUAAUAUUAAUCAAGUCUAAACCUCUACAUCUAGAAUAAUGGGGUAUCUAAUCCCAGUUUAUUGUCUAGAUUUCUUAUCCUCAUAAUCAAAAAUUUAAUUAAAUAAAAAAUAGGAUUUCACCCAAUAUUUCACCAAAAUAAAAAUUAAUUUUUAUUAACUAAGUAUUAAAACCGAAAAAAAACAAUUGUAUCUUUUGUGUAACCGCA
rnacentral:rRNA from 1 species